rnacentral:rRNA from 1 species
CGACGAUCCCUAGCUGGUCUGAGAGGAUGACCAGCCACACUGGAACUGAGACACGGUCCAGACUCCUACGGGAGGCAGCAGUGGGGAAUAUUGCACAAUGGGCGCAAGCCUGAUGCAGCCAUGCCGCGUGUAUGAAGAAGGCCUUCGGGUUGUAAAGUACUUUCAGCGGGGAGGAAGGGAGUAAAGUUAAUACCUUUGCUCAUUGACGUUACCCGCAGAAGAAGCACCGGCUAACUCCGUGCCAGCAGCCGCGGUAAUACGGAGGGUGCAAGCGUUAAUCGGAAUUACUGGGCGUAAAGCGCACGCAGGCGGUUUGUUAAGUCAGAUGUGAAAUCCCCGGGCUCAACCUGGGAACUGCAUCUGAUACUGGCAAGCUUGAGUCUCGUAGAGGGGGGUAGAAUUCCAGGUGUAGCGGUGAAAUGCGUAGAGAUCUGGAGGAAUACCGGUGGCGAAGGCGGCCCCCUGGACGAAGACUGACGCUCAGGUGCGAAAGCGUGGGGAGCAAACAGGAUU